UUCUCCAGUUAAGACCCAGAGCAUGUUGCUCUCCUGAAGGAAUCUUCUGACGACUCGACAGAAUACGAGACCAUCACCCCCAGUACGAGCAAACUCCAUACCAACCAACAGGCAACAUCGGAGGAGACUCUGGAAUCCCCCUCACAGAAGACGAGCAGCUCCAGCCCUGACAGUCAGAUGCAGAAGCUGCCGUGACAGGAGCCGUGUUAGAGCCCCCAGUGCUGGGAGCUCCACUCACCGGUGGGACAGUGAGACAGGGACCCACCGCUGACACGUCCCACGUCAGACAGGGAGGAGGAGGCCCCCAAAGGGAGGGAGCCAGCAUGCCUGCUGUGUCAGCCAUCAGAGGCUGACCCGGACAUCUGUGGAGAAAACCUUCAGAUAAAUGGGUUCUGUGCCCACGAGUUCUGCCUGUUUUUGCCAGCUGCCUUCCUCAGCACAAUGAUGAUCCAG